CUUCUAUGAACUGCACGUUUCCAGGCUGGUCUCUUACUGCCACAGAAUUGUCCCUUCUUGGCUCCUUUCUACGCAGCCUAGUUCAAGGCUCCUGAAGGGAAGAGGGACAGAUAGUACUGCACAGGCCUGAGUGGAUAAGUGGCUAGCACAGGCAGGAUGCUGGAUCCAGAUCCUGGUCUAAGAGUGGAAGAAGUGCAAAGUCUCACUCCCAAGACAGCUGGAAAUUAGAAGUGGAAGAGACGUUCAUGAUCAUCUCCUCUGUCAACCAUGCACUGGCGGGAAGAUGUCAGAUGAAUAAGAUCUCACGUGCUCUGUGCAGCAGUUUUAGACGACACAAGCAACGCACUACUUCCUUUGGGAGACCAUCCCACCAUCUUACAGAAUGCAUGCCUUUGACCGGAUAUUUAACCUGCAUUUUCCUUUGUUCAGCUUCAUCCUGUUACUCC